rnacentral:tRNA from 1 species
GGGGCUGGAGCUCAGUCGUAGAGCGCUUGCCUAGCAUGCAUGAGGCUCUGGGUUCAAUCCUCAGCACCA